rnacentral:rRNA from 1 species
GACGAACGCUGGCGGCGUGCUUAACACAUGCAAGUCGAACGGUAAGGCCCUUCGGGGUACACGAGUGGCGAACGGGUGAGUAACACGUGGGUGAUCUGCCCUGCACUUCGGGAUAAGCCUGGGAAACUGGGUCUAAUACCGGAUAGGACUCCUGGCUUCAUGGUUGGGGGUGGAAAGCCUUUGCGGUGUGGGAUGGGACCGCGGCCUAUCAGCUUGUUGGUGGGGUAAUGGCCUACCAAGGCGACGACGGGUAGCCGGCCUGAGAGGGUAACCGGUCACACUGGGACUGAGAUACGGCCAGACGCCUACGGGAGGCAGCAGUGGGGAAUAUUGCACAAUGGGCGCAAGCCUGAUGCAGCGACGCCGCGUGAGGGAUGACGGCCUUCGGGUUGUAAACCUCUUUCAGCUAAGACGAAGCGCAAGUGACGGUAGUAGCAGAAGAAGGACCGGCCAACUACGUGCCAGCCGCCGCAGUAAAAC